rnacentral:rRNA from 1 species
UACGGAAGGCAGCAGUGGGGAAUAUUGCACAAUGGGCGCAAGCCUGAUGCAGCCAUGCCGCGUGUAUGAAAAAGGCCUUCGGGUUGUAAAGUACUUUCAGUCGUGAGGAAGGUGUUAAGGUUAAUAACCUUAGCAAUUGACGUUAGCGACAGAAGAAGCACCGGCUAACUCCGUGCCAGCAGCCGCGGUAAUACGGAGGGUGCGAGCGUUAAUCGGAAUUACUGGGCGUAAAGGGCACGCAGGCGGUUAAUUAAGUUGGAUGUGAAAUCCUCGGGCUUAACCUGGGAAUGGCAUUCAAGACUGGUUAGCUAGAGUCUUGUAGAGGGGGUAGAAUUCCAUGUGUAGCGGUGAAAUGCGUAGAGAUGUGGAGGAAUACCGGUGGCGAAGGCGGCCCCUGGACAAAGACUGACGCUCAUGUGCGAAAGCGUGGGGAGCAAAC